rnacentral:tRNA from 1 species
UAGCUGAGUGGCAUAAGCAUCCAUCUGAUAAGUGCAAGGUCAUGAGUUCAAUCCUCAU